CGGUAAAAGCUCAAAUUUGAAAUCUGGCUCUUUUAGAGUCCGAAUUGUAAUUUGUAGAGGAUGUUUUGGGUACCGCCCCGGUCUAAAUUUCUUGGAACAGAAUGUCAAAGAGGGUGAGAAUCCCGUAUGUGACUGGAUACCUAUGCUCAUGUGAAGCUCUUUCGAC
rnacentral:rRNA from 1 species